rnacentral:lncRNA from 1 species
GGAAAGUUGUUGAGAAAAGUUAACAACAAUAUGUUGAGACUCAAUCUGGAAAUAAGAUGAACAGGGUAAUGAGAUAUCAACUUCUAAUUGAAUAUUGAGAGAAUUACAAAAAUCAGAUAACAAAGCCUAUAGGAAGCUAUAAACGAGAAACAUCACUUUCGAAAACACUGCCUGCCUACUAAGCUUCCCUCUACUCUUAAUUAUAGUCAUUCUCUAACUAACUUCUCCCAACUUGCCCUUGUAAUAGACACCCUGUUGCUGCUUCUCCUUCUCAAGUCUUCCUGGCUCUCUAAAACUGGAGGCUUAUCACAAUGACAGAUUUUGGGUUGUCUACAGUGAGGUUUUUGGGGGUACCAUCCCAUUAAUGGGUUUGAGGCAUUCCCUGAAAGCAUAGGUUUGAAUCCUUCAGAGUUUUCUCAAAUUUUCAUCAGAAUUUGAUAUUCUUGAAUGAUGAUCAAUUGUCAUUGGAGAACUACUAUGUUUUGUGUAAUUAUUGUUGAAUUCGGAUGGAUUGUAAUGAAUGAGAUUAAUGACACAAUAUGAAAUAAUAAAGAUCACAGCAAGAAACAAGAUUAAAAGUAAAGAAGAACAAAGAGAGUUAAUCGCAGAUAAAU